GGCGGAGCAUGUGGAUUAAUUCGAUGCAACGCGAAGAACCUUACCUGGGUUUGACAUGCCCCGGACUGCUGCAGAGAUGUGGUUUUCUUCGGACUGGUGUACAGGUGGUGCAUGGCUGUCGUCAGCUCGUGUCGUGAGAUGUUGGGUUAAGUCCCGCAACGAGCGCAACCCUUACUUUAUGUUGCCAGCGCGUGAUGGCGGGGA
rnacentral:rRNA from 1 species